CCUACGGGUGGCUGCAGUGGGGAAUAUUGGACAAUGGGGGGAACCCUGAUCCAGCCAUGCCGCGUGUGUGAAGAAGGCCCUCGGGUUGUAAAGCACUUUCAGUGAGGAAGAACGCCUGGUGGUUAAUACCCAUCAGGAAAGACAUCACUCACAGAAGAAGCACCGGCUAACUCCGUGCCAGCAGCCGCGGUAAUACGGAGGGUGCGAGCGUUAAUCGGAAUUACUGGGCGUAAAGCGCGCGUAGGUGGCUUGAUAAGCCGGUUGUGAAAGCCCCGGGCUCAACCUGGGAACGGCAUCCGGAACUGUCAAGCUAGAGUGCAGGAGAGGAAGGUAGAAUUCCCGGUGUAGCGGUGAAAUGCGUAGAGAUCGGGAGGAAUACCAGUGGCGAAGGCGGCCUUCUGGACUGACACUGACACUGAGGUGCGAAAGCGUGGGUAGCAAACAGGAUUAGAUACCCGGGUAGGUC
rnacentral:rRNA from 1 species